AACGAACGUUGGCGGCGUGCUUAACACAUGCAAGUCGAGCGAGAAAGUUGCCUUCGGGUAGCGAUUAGAGCGGCGAACGGGUGAGUAACACGUGAGUAACGUACCUUCAGGCUGGGGAUAACCACUCGAAAGGGUGGCUAAUACCCAAUAAAACUCCAGCGACCUCGGUUGCAGGAGUCAAAGUUCAGGCGCCUGAAGAUCGGCUCGCGGUCCAUUAGAUAGUUGGUGGGGUAACGGCCUACCAAGUCCAAGAUGGAUAGCUGGUCUGAGAGGAUGAUCAGCCACACUGGAACUGAGACACGGUCCAGACGCCUGCGGGCGGCAGCAGUGGGGAAUAUUGCGCAAUGGGCGAAAGCCUGACGCAGCAACGCCGCGUGAGUGAUGAAGGCCUUCGGGUCGUAAAGCUCUGUCAGUAGGGAAGAACACAGACGGUACCUACAAAGGAAGCACCGGCUAACUCCG
rnacentral:rRNA from 1 species